GGAGUCUGGGCCGUAUCUCAGUCCCAAUGUGGCCGUUCAACCUCUCAGUCCGGCUACUGAUCGUCGCCUUGGUGAGCCAUUACCCCACCAACUAGCUAAUCAGACGCGAGGCCAUCUCAGAGCGAUAAAUCUUUGGCAUCAGAGCCAUGCGACUCCAAUGCAUCAUGCGGUAUUAGCAGCCGUUUCCAGCUGUUGUCCCCCUCUCCAAGGCAGGUUCCUCACGCGUUACUCACCCGUCCGCCGGUCGCCAUCAAAGUUUGCAAGCAAACUUCAUGCUGCCCCUCGACUUGCAUGUGUUAAGCCUGUAGCUAGCGUUCAUC
rnacentral:rRNA from 1 species